rnacentral:tRNA from 1 species
UAGGGUGUCGCCAAGCGGUAAGGCAAAGGACUUUGACUCCUUCAUCCCGGGUUCGAAUCCCGGCACCCUAA